GGGUUCUUUGGUGAAGUUCUCACUGCUAUAGCCAUACAAAGCUUAUAUAUGUUUGUAGUAAAUAUUUGUAUUUGUGUUAAUUCGGUUCUUGACCAGGAUGAGAUGUCCUUGCCUGCCUCACCAUUUUUUCCUUGCUGGUUAUGCAUCAAAAGGCAGUGGAUCACAUAUUUUUGGUGAAUUGCUUUGAAGUGGUUCCUUCCUUCCUUCCUUCCUACCUUCCUUCCUUCCUUCCUUCCUUGUAGUACAUAAAUUACAGGGCCAGUUCUACCAUUAGGCAAUGUGAAACAUCAACCUCAGGUGGCAGGUGCUGAGGGGCAUGGAAGCAAACAGAGCAGUUUGUGCCACACCAUCUGCCUUGUACCCUAGCUAGACUUCUGCCCUCAGGUGCCGUGGACGAUGCUGCCCUUUUGCCAUUGUUUUUCGUUGUUGUUUUUAAUGCCAGUACAGUUGGCUUCUGUGCAUAGAACAGGAGGGGAGAGCUUGUCUUCAAGGGCAGCCCAAGGUAGAGCAUGAUACAGUAGUCUAUACAGGAGGGAUCCGUGGUUUGCAAUAGUGUUGUUGAUGAUGAUGGUGGUGGUGGUGGUGAUUGAGUUUAGUGGCUGCAUCCUUUUGCCAAAGGCAACUCAAAGGAACCUACAACUAUGACAAGCCGAUCUUGGUCCACAACAGAGUUGGAAAUAGUCACUUGGAGACACCAGUGCCUUGUGGCUUUCAGAUGACAAAUAUGAAUCCAAGAGCACGUCCAGAUUAUGUACCUGAUCCUUCAGGGAGACUACAACACCAUCACAAACUUGCUUAAUUCCUAAUUAACUAUAGGGCUUAGUAUGUCAGACUGGAGAGGUCCAGUCACAAAGUUCAUUGUGUGCUCUUGGACCAGUUAUUCCCUCUCUUAACAUAGCCCAAUUCUUAGGAUUAUUGUGAGGAUAAAAUAGGGGUGUAUUUGCUUCACUCUGCUCCUUGGAGGAAGCCUACAAUAAAAAUGCCAUAAAUCAGUAAACACAGUACAGUAUAAACAAUGGAUUCCAAAAGCGUAAGAAGGUAAGAGGAGCUACCUGGAUCCAGCCAAUCCAUCUAGCCUAGUGUCCUGUUCUCUUACCUGUGGAGGACCAGGAAGGAGGAACCGAGUACAAGAGCUUUCUCCCCUCCAGUGGUUCCCAGCAACUGACAUUCAGAAGCAUUGCUUCCUCCAGCUAUAGGGGGAGACCAUAGCCUUCAUGGCUAGUAGCCAUCAAUAGCCCUCUCCUCCAUAAAAAUUCAUCUAAAGAUCUGUAAUUGUAAAAUAUAGCAUCUGAGAUAAUGCAAUCCAUGUGUCAGCUGCUGUUUCAUGACUUCAGCCACAUCACGGCCUAGGACCCUCGUACCUAAGGGACCGCCUCUCCCGGUAUGCCCCGCGGAGGACCAUAAAGGUCCAUAAAUAGCAACACUCUAGAGGUCCUGGGCCCUAAGGAAGUCAGAUUAGCCUCAACCAGAGCCAGGGCCUUUUCAACACGGGCUCCAGCCUGGUGGAAUGUUCUGUCUCAUGAGACCAGGGCCCUGCAGGAUCUGAUUUCUUUCCGCAGGGCCUGUAAGACAGAGUUGUUCUGCCUGGCCUUUGGCUUGGAAUCAGUUUGAUCCCCUCCCCCUCUUCCUUUUUCCUUUCUCCUUCUGUGAUGGAACUCCUAUUUGGGGACUUCCCUGGCUUUUUUUUCGCCCAUGUAGGACUAGUCUGGAUAGUUGGCCUUGGUGAAGAUUUGACGUUUUCAUCCCCAAAAUGUUUUUGAUUUGAGUUUCUACUGAAAUGAGGCUGAAUUUUAAUGUUGUAUUUUCAUCUCAUUUUUAAGUUGUGUUUUAAUCAAUUGUUUUUAUAUCUGGUGUUAGCCGCCCUGAGCCCGGUCUUGGCUGGGGAGGGCGGGGUAUAAAUAAAAUUUAUUAUUAUUAUUUAUUAUUAUCACUCAGCACACGUUGCCGUCAUUGACAAGCAAGUGCACAGCACCCAUGUUUAAAGGUUUAUAGCAUGUGAUGUAGGACAAGGGUAGGUAGCCUGUGGCCCUCUGAAUGUUGUUGGGCCACAGUUACCAUCAUCCCUGGCUAUUGGCCAUGCUGGGAAAGGGUUGAUAGGACUUGGAGUCCAGCAAGACUUGUCAUAGAUCUCGAAUAGCCGUCCACAUCCGUUCCAGACUGUGCUCAGAAUGAGGUAACUUUUUCCUAGCUGGCUGUGACAACUGAGAAAAAUAUGUAAACAAAAGAAGCCCCCGUUUUUUUUCCAAUUGCACAAACUUUUGGGGCGAGAACUUUGGGUGUAACCGCAUUACCCUUUGCUACUGGCAGUGAAAGGACACAGCCUGUUAACUUCACCACAGUUUUUUCUCUCCGUAAUGCGGUACAAAAUGUCCUUUCGUCAGACACUGGAGGUUCUCCCUCUCCCCUUCAUUAGACCAGAAGCUCACGCACCAGGGAUUAAAUGUCAUUCCCUUAGUUUUCUCAAGAAGCGGGAUUUUGGGCUCUUGAGUAUUACCUCUUAUUGAGCACUGCUCGUCUUAAGUGGCUGGAUGCUGAAGCUUUGCAGUUCUCUUGUCCGUGGGAUAUUUCCGAUUGUAGGGAUAAUAGACCUUGCUUUCGACUGAGGCUUCUCGGCGGUUUGAUAAGGCCUGCUUUGAGUUUGCACUGCAGUAAUUAGCAGCAGGUGGGGGAAGAUUUCCGGAGAAGGGUUUCCCCGGGAGGUCAGGCAGCAGCCGUGGCUUGCUAGAGCCAAAUCCAGAGCAAAGGACCUCAAAUUCAGCUGCUAAAGCUGGAAGUGGGAGCUUGAGCUGAACCCUAGAGGACAAGAGGCAGAAGGUCAUUGUCUGUUGGCUGGUUGAGAGUAGAAAGCCAGGCUACCAAAUAUAUUCAUUCUACAGAGUUCGUAUGGCCUGCCAAUAAUGACAGUACUGUUAUUAUUAAAUUUCUAAUACUGCCCUUCACCUGAGGAUCACAGGGCAAUAUUACGAUGUAAAGCCACACACAAAAAUUCCAGAGAUAAGCCAGAAACGGGGAAGAUCAGGCCUGGGGGCCAAAUUCAGCCUCCAAGCCCUCUGGACAAUACAAACACCCCUCCUUUGCACCCACUUUCCUUGCCUGUGAGGAGGAUAGAGAGGUGUCUGUGUGGAAACCUGCCUGCUGUUCAAAGGUAAAAGUUUGCCUCAAUUUGCCCGCUCACUGUUGCCUGUGGUUCCGGCCACUAUGGGCACAUUGGUACCUGGAACUGAAUGCAGUCCCCAGGCUGAAAAGGCUUCCCUAUACCUAACAUAAGGAGAACCCUUGAUUCAGGUUGAAAAGCACGCUGGAAGAAUGGCAGAUGAAGGUGAUGGACUAUAUGGAACUGGCGGAAAUGACUGGCAGAAUCCGAGACCAGGGAGAAGAGUCGGUGGAAGAAGAUUGGAAGAAAUUUAAAGACUAUCUACAGAAAUAUUGUAAAAUUAAUGAAUGUUAGAAUGAUGUUGGAUAGAAAUUAAGUGGUUUUCAGCUGUAAUACUAUAAGGGAAUAUGAAAAAUGGAUUAUUAAUAGGUAAAAAUUCAACUUUACAAUAUUUUAAGAUUAAAGACUAGGAUAAACAAAGAGGGUAUGAAUUUGCUGAACCAACAAACUGAACUGGAAUACAAAAAAGGGAGGCGUGAGGAGGUCCGGGAAACAAGCUAAUGAAAAAUAAGUAAUGGAAAGAUUGAGUUGUUUUUAACCAUUUUUAUUUUGUACUUUUUUCUUUUUUUCUUUUAUUUAUUUUGUAACAUCUUGAAAAUCUCAAUAAAUAUCUUAU